rnacentral:rRNA from 1 species
AUUGAACGCUGGCGGCAUGCUUUACACAUGCAAGUCGAACGGUAACAGGCCGCAAGGUGCUGACGAGUGGCGAACGGGUGAGUAAUGCAUCGGAACGUGCCCGGUCGUGGGGGAUAACGCAGCGAAAGCUGCGCUAAUACCGCAUACGAUCUAAGGAUGAAAGCGGGGGACCGUAAGGCCUCGCGCGAUCGGAGCGGCCGAUGUCAGAUUAGGUAGUUGGUGGGGUAAAGGCUCACCAAGCCGACGAUCUGUAGCUGGUCUGAGAGGACGACCAGCCACACUGGGACUGAGACACGGCCCAGACUCCUACGGGAGGCAGCAGUGGGGAAUUUUGGACAAUGGGCGCAAGCCUGAUCCAGCAAUGCCGCGUGCAGGAAGAAGGCCUUCGGGUUGUAAACUGCUUUUGUACGGAACGAAACGGCUCUGGUUAAUACCUGGGGCUAAUGACGGUACCGUAAGAAUAAGCACCGGCUAACUACGUGCCAGCAGCCGCGGUAAUAC